AGUGGGGAAUCUUGCGCAAUGGGCGAAAGCCUGACGCAGCGACGCCGCGUGGGUGACGAAGGCCUUCGGGUUGUAAAGCCCUGUGGGGUAGAACGAACUGGCAUCGGGCUAAUAUCCCGGUGUCUUGACGGUACUGCCUUAGCAAGCAUCGGCUAACUCUGUGCCAGCAGCCGCGGUAAGACAGAGGAUGCGAACGUUGCUCGGAUUUACUGGGCGUAAAGCGCGUGUAGGCGGUCUCGUUAGUCGGGUGUGAAAGCCCCGGGCUCAACCCGGGAAGUGCACCCGAUACUGCGAGACUGGGGUACUGAAGAGGAGAGCGGAAUUCCCGGUGUAGAGGUGAAAUUCGUAGAUAUCGGGAGGAACACCAGUGGCGAAGGCGGCUCUCUGGGCAGAUACCGACGCUGAGACGCGAAAGCGUGGGGAGCAAA
rnacentral:rRNA from 1 species